AGUGAACGCUGGCGGUAUGCCUAACACAUGCAAGUCGAACGGCAGCACAGUAAGAGCUUGCUCUUACGGGUGGCGAGUGGCGGACGGGUGAGGCAUACAUCGGCAUCUACUUUUUCGUGGGGGAUAACGUAGGGAAACUUACGCUAAUACCGCAUACGACCUACGGGUGAAAGCAGGGGAUCUUCGGACCUUGCGCGAUUGAAUGAGCCGCUGUCGGAUUAGCUAGUUGGCGGGGUAAAGGCCCACCAGGGCGACGAUCCGUAGCUGGUCUGAGAGGUGGACCAGCCAAACUGGAACUGAGACACGGUCCAGACUCCUACGGGAGGCAGAGGUGGGGAAUAUUGGACAAUGGGCGCAAGCCUGAUCCAGCCAGACCGCGCGGGUGAAGAAGGCCUUCGGGUGGUAAAGCCCUUUUGUUGGGAAAGAAAAGCAGCAGGUUAAUACCCCGCUGUUCUGACGGUACCCAAAGAAUAAGCACCGGCUAACUUCGUG
rnacentral:rRNA from 1 species